UGCCCAAACUUUUGAGCACCAUCCUACUGUUCAUCCUCUACACCUGUAUACUCAUACUGGCUGUGUACACCUACAGGAAGUGGGCUCAAGCUCGAGCUGAAGCUGAAAGGAAAUGGCCUGAUCAUCUCUAACUCGAGUGCAGGAAGAAGAUGAUCAACAAUCAACAUAUCACUGGGAUUAAAGCAAUAGUCUUACACUGAUCCUUUCAACCUUAAUAACCUCUCAGCAGCAAUGAUGUUCGAUUUUGUAUGAAUCUAAAAUUAUAUAAACUGAACAGAAAACUGUCUCAUUUUCGCAUUUGAUGAGUUUUAUCUUUAAAGGACAAAUUGAGUGUCACAAUGUUAUGAAGAAGCACUCUGAGAGUGCAAACCUUCACCAGUGCCGCUCACGCUCCAGGCUGCAUUUGUUUUAUAUAGGAUUGUAUAUACAAACUAGUAUAUUGUCUUUUAUAAACCUGUUGUAAGAGAUUUGUCAAAUACUUCUUUAAUUUAUAAUUUGUCCUGUGGUUUAAUGUAUCAUUUUAUGCAUCAGUGUCUGUCUGUAUUACUGCUGUUCUAAAUACAUCAAAAAAUAUAUGUUCUUACUUUUAGAAACAUUACUCUUGUGUUACUCUGUAACCUGGCAUUAACUAUCUGCUGUGGUAAGUGGGAUGAAGAAAUAACCAGUAACCAGGCAGAUGUGCCUUUGACAUCAAAAAAUUUGAAAAAUAGUCUCACAAAUGUCCUCAUCAGCAUUGUGUCUGUCUCCACCUUGUGGGCAUUUUUACACUUGUUGCUUAUUUUAAUGCAAUCUGAACAUUUUAUAUAAAGUAAUUAAAAUACUUAUAAUGUUGGUUUAGAAAGUUCCUUUCAUAAAAGAUGACCCAGCGUC